rnacentral:lncRNA from 1 species
CGGCCCGGGGCGAAGCGGCCGUGGGGCCAAACUGGGCGCCGGGCGCGAGCCGAGGCCGCCGCGGACCCCGCAAUCCCGCAGCCGGCGACUGGAGCCCACCUCUGCGGAGACAAAGGCAGGAGUGCCAUUCCUUUCGCUCUUUUCAUGGAAGCUGCUCCAGGGAACCCCAGCUGAAGAUGCGUGCGGAUUCAGCAAACAGUGGGAAAGCAGAGGACACAAGUUUGGAUGUGAAAUAGUAACACCUUCUGCAGUGGAGAAUAAACAAUAAUUACACAAAAUUGAGCAUGUUGUUGGACCUUCCCAAACAGUAACACUUCAUGCUGGUCUAUACAUGUCUAUACAUUCAGAACAUUGUUUAGUUCUGAAACAUUCUGAGAAAUAACCUCAAUUGUCAAUUUCCCUCUACCCAAAAAAAGGCAGAGUUUAUGAC